AAAAUAACCCUCCACUUACAACACAGGAAGGAUUUCCCCUUUCCAACGCCCUGCCUCAAAACUGGCGCCGUUUCUACUUUGCAGGCCACUUCAGAGUGGCCCGUGGAUGGCUCACUGGGACCUGCAGACGAACAACACUUCCGCGGGCUGCAAGCCCGGCAGCCAGAGGAAAGGAGCUUCCAGGAGGCUGGGGGAAUGCAGUGAGCAAGCACCCCCCUUGGGUCAGGGGGGCUCUGACCCAGAGCAGGUGCUCCCCCAUUCCUCUCAGGGAGACCCUCCCCUCCAGGACCCACUCAGCCACCACACUGCAUGAUUCAUGCCGCUGGACCGCGCUUGGGUGAAGGUCAGUUGGCUGCCCACUACAAAGGCCCUACCACUUCCAGCCUCCCGGGGGCAGCCCUCAACAAUCAACGUGUUCAGCGACCAGCUCAGGGCCCUGAGUGCCAGGCUUCACUGUUCUGCUGAAGGACCUUUAAGUGUUGAAAUGUCUUCAUCUUCCUGCUCUCAUUUACAAAAAGUAUUCCCAAAAAUGUCUUCCAAGGAAAAUUAGUUUGGGGUGUUGCGCCUCACGGGAUGUAAAAGCGCCAGGGCUGAAUGGAAGGGAGAGAGGCGAGCAGGCCUGGUUCGUGUGUUAAUGGUGAAUAACUUGGCCCUGGCCCCACCUUGAAGUUGCUAAUCUGCUGGAUACUCUCCAAGUACAACGUUCAGAUACAGAAGAAGGGCAGAAAGGAAGCCAACGUUUGCUGAGCACCUGGUACACGUAAGGCGCUGGCAUGGAGACAUCUUCCUGGGUCUCAUUUUCUCCUGGAACCCUCCGAGGGGGGUGCUGUGUCCAGGGCGAAACCACAGUCGGAAGGUCAGCACCCUGCCCAAGAUCAUAGAGCUGUGAAGAGGACAACUGGGGGCUUCCAUCCGUCAGGUAGAUUCUGACUUCAGAACUCAUGUUCGUCCCAGCAAACAACAACGGAGUCAGUGUCAUAACCGUGAAUGACGAUGGGGUGGUUGCAAUCUGUCAAUCUGAGACAGCCUUGCCUUGAGUUUCCAGCACGCUAUGAAAUAGGGUGGCCGUCGAUCCCAUGCCCUCUGCCCAGUUUGCUCGUGUACUUCCUUCUUCACCCCGACACCUCUGACACACAGCUCCGGGGACGAGAAAAGCCCCCAAGACCCCAGCCCCAGGACGAGCGGCAGAAUGCCCAGGCAGGAGAGGCUCCUUGUUGAUACCAUCCAGCCUGGUGAAUUCUACAGACAACAAAGCGUCGCUGAAUGAAAAAAAAUAGGUCUUGAAACAGUACCUAAGGAAUGAUCUCAUGUACAAAAUUCCAUCUAUAGGACUAUGUACCCGCAGGGGCGUCCUCCUGGGGGUAGGACAGGCACCAGAAUGUUGUCUCUUAGCUGGGAUUACGGGUAGGACUUCUCUACCCCCUGCCCCCACCUCUUUGUUCUUGUAGGAUUUUCUUCCCUAAAGGCAGCUAACUAGGGAAGAUCUACCCCCACCCCCACCCCCGCAAAGACCUCUGGGCCCAGAUCCCUCCAGAUCCUCCCAAAGACCCUCUAGGCCCAGAUCUCCCAAAGACCACCCCUGUGUGGCCAGCGCAUGGACACAGACACCUGCCUGUCUGCCCACCCUUCCAUUCAACACUUCAAGGCAACCGGUUCUGGGUGAUGAACUGACCACUCUGGUGGGUGUGGCGGAGUCAGGACGCCACCUCUAUGCCAUCGGGCAGAAUGGUCUGCCCUCCUCCCCUUUGUCAGAUCCUCCCUCUGUGGACACUCAACUCAGUUCCCAGGCCCUCCCAAGAGGCUCUUCCAAGAAGCCUUCUCAGAUGCGCAGAGUCCAAAACAUUCUUUCCCUUUCCUCCCAACACCCACUUGCCUCAAUACUCUGCUCCCGCCUCUACGUAAAUUCCUGUCCCAUGCAUUGUCUUUGAAUUAAAUACCCGUGUCUAUG